UAAAAAAAAAAAUUUUAUUUUAUUUAUUUGAGGUGGGGGGGAGAGCAGGAGCAGGGGGCAGGGAGGGGCAGAAGGAGACAGAGAAGCAGACUCCCUACUGAGCAGGGAGCCCGACUCAGGGCUCGAUCCGAGGACCCGGAGAUCAUGACCUGAGCUUAACUGACUGAGUCACGCAGAUGCUCCUCUAGAGUCAUGUCCUUAAUGAAAUUCUACUAUGAGCUAAGUCCUGUGCUGGUUGCCAUGGAGACAUAAGAGGUAAAAUCAAGGAUUUUACCUUCAGGAGGCACACUGCUAAGUAGGCAGUAAGAGAGACACAGGAGUUACUGAAACUGGUACCUGGUGAAGACGGAAGCAGACCAGAACUACUUCAGAACAGGACCAGACACAAACUCUAGAGAAUAUCAUAUCUCUGUACCCUUCCCAGAGAGCAGGGCUGAAGAGGUGGAUACAGCAAUACUGAGAGGUCUGCGUGGCUUGUAGACAGCUCUGAGAGGUUGACCAAACCAAACAUUGAGGAAUUGUUUCUAGAACUGAGAAGUUGCCUUACAUGUGAGAUGGCUCUGAGUCUCAUGCCAAAACUGCUGGUGGAAGUCACUUUUCUUACUGAAAGAGUUGCUUCCUAGCUGAUUACAGCCGGUGUCACAACCAGAUAAAGCAAAGAUGUUGCUGAAAGGCAGCGUGGUGGGAGAUCUGGAGUGAACACAGGGCAGCUGGCUUCACAGCUGUGCAAACUAUGUAAUUCUAUGGUUUCAGUGGGAGGUAAUAAACAGCUGUAAACUUCCGCA
rnacentral:lncRNA from 1 species